UACGUAGGGACCAAGCGUUGUUCGGAUUACUGGGCGUAAAGGGCGCGUAGGCGGCAAUUCAAGUCAGCUGUGAAAUCUCCGGGCUUAACUCGGAACGGUCAGCUGAUACUGCUUUGCUAGAGUGCAAAAGGGGCAAUCGGAAUUCUUGGUGUAGCGGUGAAAUGCGUAGAUAUCAAGAGGAACACCUGAGGUGAAGACGGGUUGCUGGGCUGACACUGACGCUGAGGCGCGAAAGCGUGGGGAGCAAACAGG
rnacentral:rRNA from 1 species